rnacentral:rRNA from 1 species
CCCUUAGAUGUUCUGGGCCGCACACGCGCUACACUGAAGGAGGCAGCGUGUACUCCUGGAUCGAAAGAUUUGGGUAACCCGCGAAUCUCCUUCGUGCUAGGGAUUGAGGUUUGCAAUUAUCCUUCAUGAACGAGGAAUUCCCAGUAAGUGCAAGUCAUAAGCUUGCGCUGACUACGUCCCUGCCCUUUGUACACACCGCGCGUCGCUACUACCGAUUGAAUGAUUUAGUGAGGACUUCGGACUGGGACCGAUGCGGCUUUCGGGCUGCGUCGGUAUUCUGGAAAGAUGUCCAAACUGUAUCAUUUAGAGGAAGUAAAAGUCGUAACA